rnacentral:rRNA from 1 species
CCAGACUCCUACGGGAGGCAGCAGUGAGGAAUAUUGGUCAAUGGGCGGGAGCCUGAACCAGCCAAGCCGCGUGAAGGAAGAAGGCGCCAGGCGUCGUAAACUUCUUUUGUCGGGGAACAAAGGGCGCCACGCGUGGCGUUGUGAGUGUACCCGAAGAAAAAGCAUCGGCUAACUCCGUGCCAGCAGCCGCGGUAAUACGGAGGAUGCGAGCGUUAUCCGGAAUGAUUGGGCGUAAAGGGUGCGUAGGCGGUCGAUUAAGUCUGGAGUGAAAGGUACCGGCUCAACCGGUAUAGGCUCCGGAAACUGAUGGACUGGAGUACAGGAGAGGGUGGCGGAACUCCAUGUGUAGCGGUAAAAUGCGUAGAUAUAUGGAAGAACACCGGUGGCGAAGGCGGCCGCCCGGACUGUAACUGACGCUAAGGCACGAAAGCGUGGGGAGCAAAUAGGAUUAGAUACCCUUGUA